rnacentral:rRNA from 1 species
AGGAUGAACGCUGGCGGCGUGCCUAACACAUGCAAGUCGAACGGGGGUUUAGCAAUAAACCCUAGUGGCGAACGGGUGAGUAACACGUAGACAACCUGCCUUCCAGAUGGGGACAACAAUCCGAAAGGGUUGCUAAUACCGAAUGUGCUUGUUUCUUCGCAUGAAGAAACAAAGAAAGAUGGCCUCUAUUUAUAAGCUAUCGCUGGAAGAUGGGUCUGCGUCUGAUUAGCUAGUUGGUGAGGUAAUGGCCCACCAAGGCGACGAUCAGUAGCCGGUCUGAGAGGAUGAACGGCCACACUGGGACUGAGACACGGCCCAGACUCCUACGGGAGGCAGCAGUGGGGAAUCUUCCACAAUGGACGAAAGUCUGAUGGAGCAACGCCGCGUGAGUGAUGAAGGCUUUCGGGUCGUAAAACUCUGUCUUCGGGGACGAAUGUGCGAUUUGUGAAUAAUGAGUCGUAAUGACGGUACCCGAGGAGGAAGCCACGGCUAACUACGUGCCAGCAGCCGCGGUAAUACGUAGGUGGCAAGCGUUAUCCGGAAUUAUUGGGCGUAAAGCGCGCGCAGGCGGGAAUAUUAGUCUAUCUUCAAAGUGCGGAGCUCAACUCCGUGAUGGGGUGGAAACUGUAUUUCUUGAGUGCAGGAGAGGAAAGUGGAAUUCCCAGUGUAGCGGUGAAAUGCGUAGAGAUUGGGAGGAACACCAGUGGCGAAGGCGACUUUCUGGACUGUGUCUGACGCUGAGGCGCGAAAGCUAGGGGAGUGAACGGGAUUAGAUACCCCGGUAAUCCUAGCUGUAAACGAUGGGUACUAGGUGUUGGGGGUAUCGACCCCUCCAGUGCCGGAGUUAACGCAAUAAGUACCCCGCCUGGGGAGUACGAUCGCAAGGUUG